rnacentral:miRNA from 1 species
UGGAUGGUGUGCAGGGUCAAA